UUUAUAUACUAACAAUCUUUUUCAUAUUUUCUUCCCAACAGCACAAAGAAACACUCUCUCUCUUGGCUAUAUAUUAUGUCAUUUUCAUUCUGAUUUUACAACUUUAACAACCCCUUUCCAUAUCACUUUUCAUAUUUUGAAAAACCAUCAAAGCCACAAGUUUACCAAUUAUGGGUAAGGAAUGGUAUUGGGGUGGAAAAUCCAUCUCCAAGAGAAAUGGAGGAGGAAAAAGAGCUGAACCUGAAAUCCCUUCUGGUUGCAUGUGUACACUCUUUCAAGCCUUUGAUUUUCAUCCCUNNN
rnacentral:lncRNA from 1 species